rnacentral:rRNA from 1 species
GAUGAACGCUGACAGAAUGCUUAACACAUGCAAGUCGAUGGGGAAGUGGUGCUUGCACCAUGGCAACCAUGACGGACGGGUGAGUAACGCGUAAGGGACUUACCUGCAGGACUGGGAUAACAGGGGGAAACUCCUGACAAGACCGGAUAAUGUCAUGGAGCUGCAUGGCUUUAUGAUGAAAGGAGACGCCUGCGGAGAGCCUUGCGUCCUAUUAGCUAGUUGGUGAGGUAAUGGCUCACCAAGGCGAAGAUAGGUAGCCGGCCUGAGAGGGUGGACGGCCACAAGGGGACUGAGAUACGGCCCUUACUCCUACGGGAGGCAGCAGUGGGGAAUAUUGGACAAUGGGGGCAACCCUGAUCCAGCAAUUCUGUGUGCACGAAGAAGGUUUUCGGAUUGUAAAGUGCUUUCAGCAGGGAAGAAGUAAGUGACGGUACCUGCAGAAGAAGCGACGGCUAAAUACGUG